rnacentral:rRNA from 1 species
AUACGGAGGGUGCGAGCGUUAAUCGGAAUUACUGGGCGUAAAGCGUGCGUAGGCGGUUUGCUAAGUCAGAUGUGAAAGCCCCGGGCUUAACCUGGGAACUGCAUUUGAUACUGGCAGACUAGAGUAUGAUAGAGGGGGGUAGAAUUCCUGGUGUAGCGGUGAAAUGCGUAGAUAUCAGGAGGAAUACCAGUGGCGAAGGCGGCCCCCUGGAUCAAUACUGACGCUGAGGUACGAAAGCGAGGGGAGCGAACAGGAUUAGAAACCCUGGUAGUCC